rnacentral:rRNA from 1 species
GAUGAACGCUGGCGGCGUGCCUAACACAUGCAAGUCGAACGAAGCAAUUAAGAUGAAGUUUUCGGAUGGAAUCUUGAUUGACUGAGUGGCGGACGGGUGAGUAACGCGUGGGUAACCUGCCUCAUACAGGGGGAUAACAGUUAGAAAUGACUGCUAAUACCGCAUAAGCACACGUGAUCGCAUGAUCGAGUGUGAAAAACUCCGGUGGUAUGAGAUGGACCCGCGUCUGAUUAGCUAG